rnacentral:rRNA from 1 species
UACAGAGGUCCCGAGCGUUGUUCGGAUUUAUUGGGCGUAAAGGGUGUGUAGGCGGCGGAGUAAGUUGGGUGUGAAAUCCCGGGGCUUAACCUCGGAAUUGCAUUCAAUACUGCUUCGCUUGAGUACUGGAGAGGAGGCUGGAAUUUACGGUGUAGCAGUGAAAUGCGUAGAUAUCGUAAGGAAGGCCGGUGGCGAAAGCGAGCCUCUGGACAGUUACUGACGCUGAUGCACGAAGGCCAGGGGAGCAAACGGG